GAUCACAGGAUAUAAAUAUUUUGAAGUAAAAUUUAAAUAACUUUCCCCAGGGUGUAUAAUUAUUUAGUAAGAGCCUAAACUUGAAUUUGAUUCCAACUCUUUACAAAUGCAAAUCUCAUGUAUUUUUUACUAAGUCAAAGAUAGCAUGAACAAUUGAUUUUUAAGAAAUAUUUUUGUUGAAAAAUAUACACUGUAAUCCUAACAGAAAUAAUAAGAUUAUGCUGGCACCUGCCUAGGGUGCAUUGUGCAGUUUGCCAAGCAGGUGAAAUUUGGUUAAAUAUUUUGACAGUUCUUUUUCCUCUCUCUCAUUUUUAUAUAUGAUGACAUUUAAAAUGAGGUGUCAGGGGGCAGGCACAUUUUUUCCCCCUUCAAAAAUGACAGGACAGAAAAGAAAAAGAAAGCUCAAAGCUCAGAGUCACCAAAACGGGUCAUUUUCACGGAGAACGCCAGCUGGGCAGAAGGGAACAUACGCUGCAUUCAGGAAAAGUUUCACAGGAUGCAAAGGGAAACCAUCUGCUUUGCUUUUUUGUUCUUGUUUAAGAGCAGCUUGUGUUUGCAACUCACAAUUUAAAACAUGGUAAUAGCCGACAGGGCUCUGUGAAGCAUAAAAUGCCCCGCUCGCUCCUUUCCCAUUUCUCCCUACUUAUUAUUAUUGUAUUUUUACUCUGUGUUUGCAGAAAGCCAAAUGAGAAGAAGGCAUUUGUGUGUUGCAACCUGGAUAGUAAUGUUCACCUAGCCCCGGAUGAGUCUGUGUGUGUUUUGUGUUUUCUGGACAUCCCAGGAUGCUGUGGUGAAACCCAGCCAACAGGAAUCACAGAAUGGCUUCAUAGAUCAUUUUAUAAAAUUGGCUCUCCCGGCAGAUUUACUUCAAGAUGGGAAAAGUGUCUUAUUUUCAACGCGGUCAUUUGUAUCUACAGCACUCUAUUCUGUUAAACAGCCUUAAUAAAAAUGAUAUUAUCCUU